AGCAGUAGCCGCGGGAAAACAGAGGGUGCGAGCGUUAAUCGGAUUUACUGGGCGUAAAGCGUGCGUAGGCGGCUUCUUAAGUCGGAUGUGAAAUCCCUGAGCUUAACUUAGGAAUUGCAUUCGAUACUGGGAAGCUAGAGUAUGGGAGAGGAUGGUAGAAUUCCAGGUGUAGCGGUGAAAUGCGUAGAGAUCUGGAGGAAUACCGAUGGCGAAGGCAGCCAUCUGGCCUAAUACUGACGCUGAGGUACGAAAGCAUGGGGAGCAAACAGGAUUAGAUACCCCCGUAGUCCCUGUCUCUUAUAA
rnacentral:rRNA from 1 species